UAGGAAAUCUUCGGCAAUGGGGGGAACCCUGACCGAGCAACGCCGCGUGAGUGAAGAAGGUUUUCGGAUCGUAAAGCUCUGUUGCUAAGGAAGAACGAGUGUGAGAAUGGAAAGUUCAUGCUGUGACGGUACUUAACCAGAAAGGGACGGCUAACUACGUGCCAGCAGCCGCGGUAAUACGUAGGUCCCGAGCGUUGUCCGGAUUUAUUGGGCGUAAAGCGAGCGCAGGCGGUUAGAAAAGUCUGAAGUGAAAGGCAGUGGCUCAACCAUUGUAGGCUUUGGAAACUGUUUAACUUGAGUGCAGAAGGGGAGAGUGGAAUUCCAUGUGUAGCGGUGAAAUGCGUAGAUAUAUGGAGGAACACCGGUGGCGAAAGCGGCUCUCUGGUCUGUAACUGACGCUGAGGCUCGAAAGCGUGGGGAGCGAACAGG
rnacentral:rRNA from 1 species